rnacentral:misc_RNA from 1 species
GUCCGCUGGAGGCUCUUUGAUAUAUAGACGAUACGAUCCACUUAAAUGCAGACUAAUGGAAAUUUAAACGCUAAACAGUGGUUAGCUUAUGUUAUUUAAAACAUACAUACAUGGAAUAUUACUAAAAAGGCCUGCCGGCCAAUGGCAGAAGCAAUCUGCGUUAUUGAAGACGACGUCAGUGUUGACAAAGCUACACCCUUGUUGGCUUCGCAGCAAAGAAGUUAUUUAAAAGAACAGGUCUGGGAAGAAAUAUUUCAAGAAAAAUGUGCUAUUACUGUGCAACAAAAUGAAAUUCUGCAUGUAAAAGAUAAUGUUGAAAGCUUUGUUUCAAAAGUUAUUCAAAGAGCUCUUAAUAGCGAUACAUACCAAAAUUUUAUAAGUGCAGUUGAUAAAAAAGACCUGAUUCAAUUUAAUGAACAAUGCAGCGAAGAAAACCUUCUACAAAUAGGAAGUUUUUAUGAGGGUACGAAAAACAGUUACCCUAACGAGUUCGACUUUAUAUUUGUCCUUACAGAAUAUUCAGCUAAGGACUACACACUGUUACAAAAGCUAACAUCAGACUUGUCAGAUCUGUUUCAUGAAGAGCUGAAAAACGUGAUAUCGGGACUUAGUCUUAAACUCGAUAAGGUAUUUGAACAGUUCAGUUUAUCCGGACAGCAUGGACCAGCAUCAAAAAUUAAACUUGUAUUUAAAGAAGCCGCAGCGUUACGCGAACGGAUUGUUUACCUCGAUAUUUCUGCAGCGUCGAGGUGGCAUUUUGAAACGUGUUUGCCAAAAGAAAUAGAAGUAUGCUGUAACGAAUGGAUUGAAAUGAUUCUAGAGACCGGAAGUGCUCUUGUUAUAAAGGUUUACAAAGCCGAUCAUCCAAAACACAAAACGGAGGUCAAGAUCACAAUCACCGAGACGGAACAGAACUUCGUAAGACACGCAAUGACGGAGAAUCAUCGGAAGGUGUACAGAUUGCUGAAAUAUGUUUUCAACGGAAACGACGGCGCGAAUGAAACAUUAAAGAUGCUCAUAAGAAGACCUGACAACACACAUACAAGUUCCAUAGCUUUUAUUGGAAAGAAAGUGAGUCCAAAAAUUGUGUACGAUUUGCCUUCAUAUACAAUUAAAACGCUUAUAUUUGAUCACGUGCAUCGGUGUCGGAACGCGGAAGAGGGCAUUGCAGAAUGCCUCACUGAAGUUCUUAAAAGUUUGUUGGCAAAAUUUGACGGAACUAAAUGUGUGUCUGUAAAGACAAUGUUAAGACAACCUCUAGAAAUUACGGAUGAUUCCCUUUCUACUGAGGCAGUUGGUAUGAAACUGUCCAUAUUGCUCAAAACGGCGGAAAAUGUAGAACAAACCAGAGAAAUGAUGCGCGCUGGUUUAGAAAAACAAAUACCUUUCACCGAACAGCAAAUAGAUACUGUAGAAACUGUUCUUACUUUAAAAGGAUGCAUAUUGGGAUAUUCUAGAGUGCUUUUACUAACUGUACCAGCCAUCAUUGGAAUAAUUCUACUAACAAUAAUUGGCAUUAGUGGACAGCUUUGUGUUGUAAGUCCUACUUACUCCAGCAAUAAAUCCAUUGACGUACAAUAUUGUUGUAUAGGAACGAAAGGCAUAUCAGAAAGAUGGAGAAAUGUGACUUGUUCGAAAAGUAACAUUUUCUCCAGACAUUCAGAUGAUAUCGCAUGUCUGUUGGGUUGGAAAAGGCGUUUGCUUGCAUGGCAUUGACAGCUGCAAAGAAUGCCGAUGUUGGUAACGGAGAUGUCUACUACGCAUGGAAUGAUGUUGCACUAUGCUCAGAAAACGUCAGUAAGAUUACAGAGGAAGCUAAGAUGUGUCUCUACUGUAAUGUGUCUGUAGAAGAUCCACGUGACAAUGAAGUAUUUCUACCUACCCAAAACCAAGAUAGCCUGUGUUCUUAUAUAGCUCCUUGCCGACAUGAUGAACUUGGGAAGCAAGUGAAUUCAUUCUUGAAGAUAAAGGCACUGACGUUUAAUGAUGUACACAUGCACGCGUUUUCCAAUUGUGACACUGAGAACAUUUCUGCAGAUGCAAAUUGUACGUCAUACCCAUUUCAGACAUGCACGGAAAAUACGACAAGUGACGGAAGGACGGAGUUAUGUUGCAGUACUUCUGAGAUUGUUUCGAUCGAUGAAUGCGAAAAUAGAUGGUUUUUCUGGAUCGUCUCUGGUGUAUCUGUAACAUUAUACGUUUGUGGCAUUGUGAUGUGUUGCCUUUCUGCCGAAAUACGGAGAAAAAUUAUAUUAAGGAGAAUGUGGCAACGUAUGAUCAAUGAAACGGAAACAGCAUCUUACAGAUAAACUAAUACUUACACUACUUAAAGCCUUAUAUUCAGGGUUGUGGUGGAAAUCAAAUGAAACAUCUUCUUUAAAUAUGUACUGUAAUACAUAUGAAAAUAAUUGUGCAUGUUGCUUUGUUUGUACAGGAGAGAAAAUAGUCCAGCCUCUGAAACUGCAUUUGUGAGAAGUAAAUGAAUCUAAUAAAUGUAAUUGUCGUUCUGAGGACGAUCCUAUUCCAGACAUGCACAAAGGUAGAAAAGUAGAAAAAUCAUCGAACGGCAUGACAGUCGGUCUCAUUUUGAGAUAAUUUGAUCCAAGAAUUAUAUAACCUACUUAGAUAUGUUGAAACAUGGUCGCUAGGAUGUGGUCACUUUUCUCUAUUGUUACGAGACAUGUGCAAUGAAGAAACGCCAGCAACAAACUUUUAACAAACGAAUUUGUAGAGGAACUAUUUUAUUUUCAAAUUAUUAAAAGGAUGCUUAAUUGAUGCUUUUAUAAAAUCAUCAGCACAUCAUCAAAGGAAAAUUGUGUUCAUGAAAUGUAGGAUAUUUCCAUUAAUUAUGUCUCUCACACCUACCCCCUCUGGGGGAUACAUAUAGUUUUUGUCAUGUCCGUCCGUCCGUCACAUUUCAUUUCUUCUGAUCAAUAACUAGAGAACCUUUUGCCCUAGAACAUUCACACUUCAUAAGAUGGUAGGGCUUAUUGAGUAGACGACUCCUAUUGUUUUUGGGGUCACUCCAUAAAUGUUAAUGUCACAGGGGCCUGAACAUGGAAAACCAUUUCCGAUCAAUAACUUAAGAAUUAUUUGACCCAGAAUGUUGAAACUUCAUAG